UCUUUCACUGAUUCAAAGUAUACCGCGACAGUACGACACAUAUUUUGAGUGGCAGUGGUUGGUUUGACAACGCCCAGUAAACGCCCAACUGCUUAUAAGGCCAAAUGUACCAGUUAUCUAACGCACACUCAAGAUCAGUUCAAGCAUCAAUUAAAUUAAUAUAAGUUCAAAGAGUUCAAUCGAAGUAAUCGUUUCAUCCUAGACGAAUAUUUCAACAGUCUGAUGUUCACCAAAGCUAAAUUCGCCAGCGCGGCGAAGAUAUCGACAAGUCGAUCUCAUUGUGUCGUGGAAGUGCAAAGUGGCUUCUCCGGUGGUGUGGGAGUUGACCAAAAUCCACUGCAGAUGGGUCAGGAUCCAGUCCCACUGUCCCGGUGCCGGCCGCCAGCGGGCCAAUAUCCACCGCAACAUGGGUAUUAUAAUCCGGGAGCGUAUCCUCAACAGCAAGGAGAAUAUCCACAGCAAGGGCAAUAUCUGCAGCAAGGGCAAUAUCCGCAGCAAGGGCAAUAUCCUCAAGGACAAUAUCCGCAGCAAGGGCAAUAUCCACCACAAGGGCAAUAUCCUCAAGGACAAUAUCCGCAGAAGGGGCAAUAUCCACCUCAAGGGCAAUACCCACAACAGGGCGCCUACCCACCCCAGGGCGCUCCCCCGCAAGAAUCUGCUCCUCCAAUGGACUUUUUGAAGCCGGAGACGGCUGCCAAACUGGAGGGCCGCGCUUCGCUGACUCCGGAUGAGGAGCUGGCAGAGGAGGGCAGUGACCCCUCGCCGACGGCGCCGCCCAUCGACUCCAUGGACAAGCUGCCCGGCUACGAGGGACUCGACUUCACUGGAGGGGGAGCGCCUCCGCCGCCUCCUGCCGCCCUGCCCCCUCCGCCGGAGAAUUACGGCCAGGUGAACGUGCAGCACGAAGUACCCAGCACUGAGAGGAUCAGAGAGAUUGUGGCCGGCUACGUGGCCGAGCACUGCUGCUUCGGAAAGGGACCCAUCGAGGACAUGAAGAUUGUCACCGUGACGCCCACACCCGCCUUGAAGUACACGCUCGAGACCAUGACGGAGACGCGCAUCACGCGAUGGAACUAUACGUGCCGUGGCGUGGUGAGACCGUGCCGCCGCCCAGCGGUCCUCCGCCAGGACCCUGGGACGUGCUGAUCACCCUGGAGCCCUCCCAGUGGUUCCAGAACCUGAACUCUGUGGCGGAGGUGCCCAACACCCAGACGGUACGCGUCUGCCACAACUGCCGCGGUCUCCGGGAGACGCGCUGCACGGGCUGCCACGGACACGGAUACGUAAGUUAUGCCCUACCACGGACGUGGAUGCGUAAGUUACGUCCUACGCGAAUGCGUAAGUUACGCUCUGAUACGGACAGGAAACAUAAGUUACGCACUGACGCUGACGGGGGUACGCGACUCAUCAAUGGGUAUCAUGGGUAUCAUGCGUACUACGCAUGAUACCCAUUGAUAAGCACAGUGAUUCAUAAGCUAGGAUCUGUCCUGUCGGAUGCGAUUCGUAAGUUACGCAUUUAUGGUUACGCAUUUAUGCUAAGCGGUGAUAUGAAGUUCGCCAUUCAACUUAGGCACGAAUUUAAGCCACUAACUUAAAAGCCUGGGCUAAACUACGCACGAAGUGUGAAAAAGUGGGUGAGAUAAAGUGUUGUGAAGCAAUAUUUAUGAUUCUUUUGAAUGUUACGCACUAGACUUCAUCUUUCUCUCUCUCUCCUCUCUCUCUGUCUGUCUCUCUCUCUCUCUCUAUCUCUCCCUCUCUCUCUCUCUCUCUCUCUCUCUCUCUCUCUCUCUCCCGUUUUUUUUUUUCGCAGACACGGUGCAAUUGUUGCCAUCCGCACGGCAUAUCGACGCCCUCAAGCCGAUUGAACAACGAUUGCUCCUUCUGUCAUGGCCGAGGUUCCAGACGCUGUCUUACUUGCGAUGCUGCAGGGAUGAUUCCUUGUCCCACAUGUGAGGCCGUUGGCCACAUCCGCUGCUUCGUGGAACUCACAGUCAAAUGGCAAAACCACAAGGACAUCAAGGUAGUGGAGCGCACCGACCUGCCCGAUAACCUGAUCCGCUCCGUCUCCGGUCAGGAAGUGUUCAGAGCCGAGGAGCAGCGCGUGCACCCGAUCGUCGGCUUUCCGGACCGACUGGUCAGCGAGAGCUCCUGGGAGCUGGUGCACAAACACGGCCAGCAGUGGCCCCAGGAGCGGAUAUUCAGACAGCGUCACUCGGUGCAGUCUGUGCCGGUAUUUUGCGUCACCUACCACUACGACGGCAAACAGAACGACUUCUUCAUCUACGGAAACAGCCAGAAAAUCCACUUCCCCGACUACCCCAAACAGUGCUGCUGUGUGAUCAUGUGAAGUGAGAGCUUGACGUAUGAGAUAUUCGUGUGCUAGGCUGGACGAAAUCGUGUUUUGAUUGGUGUGUGUUUGAAGGACUAGGGGGAGUUCUACACAAUCUAUAGCCUUGAACUAGAGGCUCAUGGAGGCCUGCGUGUCUUUGAAGAAGCGCGACAAUGCGAUGACCCAGAAUUGAUUUAGUGACCAUUUGAAGAAUGAACUUUAUUGAUGUCUUUAUUGUCUUUUUGUCUUAUAUUUAUUUAUGUCAAUGUCUUUAUUGAUGAAUAUUUUGUUAAUUCGAUAUUGGCUAGGUAUGAGCUUAUGUAUGCUAAUUCAGAAUCUGUGAAGUAAGGGUGACUGACAUUUGCUCAAAGUCAAGGCACCUCGCAGUCUAGUUUUUAUGUUGAUGUCUGUCAGGUUAGACC